rnacentral:rRNA from 1 species
GAUUUCUGGUCUGGCGCGCCUGGCCCGCCGGGGCAACUCGUGUGAGUGCCGGGCCGCGCCUGCCAUCCUUCUAGAAAACGUGCGUGCCCUUCACUGGGUUGCGUACGCGAUCUAGAUCUUUUACUUUGAAAAAAUUAGAGUGUUUAAAGCAGGCUUGUGCUGUGAAUACAUUAGCAUGGAAUAAUAAUUUAGGACUUUGGUCUUAUUUUGUUGGUCUAGGACUGAAGUAAUGAUUGAUAGGGACAGUUGGGGGUGCUAGUAUUCAGCGGCCAGAGGUGAAAUUCUUGGAUUCGCUGAAGACUAACUUAUGCGAAAGCAUU